GAGGACUUAGCUUAAUUAAAGUGGUUGAUUUGCAUUCAGUUG
rnacentral:tRNA from 1 species